rnacentral:rRNA from 1 species
CCUACGGGUGGCAGCAGUGAGGAAUAUUGGGCAAUGGGCGGGAGACUGAACCAGCGAAGCCGCGUGAGGGAGGAAGGUACAGAGUAUCGUAAACCUCUUUUGUCAGGGAACAAAGACUGGGACGCGUCCCCGGAUGAGUGUACCUGAAGAAAAAGCAUCGGCUAACUCCGCGCCAGCAGCGGCGGUAAUACGGAGGUUGCGACCUUUAUCGGGAUUUAUUGGGUUAAAAGGGUGCGAAGGGGGUUUGUUAAGUCAGCGGUAAAACCCCGGGGCCCAACCCCGGCCCGCCGUUGAAACUGGCAGUCUCGAGUUGGAGAGAGGUAUGUGGAAUGCGCGGUGUAGCGGUGAAAUGCAUAGAUAUCGGGCAGAACUCCGAUUGCGAAGGCAGCAUGCCGGCUCCACACUGACGCUGAGGCACGAAAGCGUGGGUAUCGAACAGGAUUAGAUACCCGAGUAGUC